ACUACUCACCCAAAUCCAUUGGAUGGUCUUGAGCUUGCGUUGGCUAGCUCGAAAUUAAUAGGGUAAACACCUACCAUGUCUAUCGUCAUAUUUAUUUGCGAUAUAUCUAGUGGUACUUAGUAACCCAUAAUAAUUUUUUAA
rnacentral:misc_RNA from 1 species